GAUGAACGCUAGCGGCAGGCUUAACACAUGCAAGUCGAGGGGCAGCGGGGUGUAGCAAUACAUCGCCGGCGACCGGCGCACGGGUGCGUAACACGUAUGGAAUCUGCCCUGUACUGGGGGAUAGCCCUCCGAAAGGAGGAUUAAUACCCCAUAACAACUUGAGUGGCAUCACUUGGGUUUGAAAGCUCCGGCGGUACAGGAUGACCAUGCGCCCGAUUAGCUAGUAGGUGAGGUAACGGCUCACCUAGGCUACGAUCGGUAGGGGGCCUGAGAGGGUUAUCCCCCACACUGGUACUGAGACACGGACCAGACUCCUACGGGAGGCAGCAGUGAGGAAUAUUGCGCAAUGGAGGCAACUCUGACGCAGCCAUGCCGCGUGCAGGAAGAAGGCGCUACGCGUUGUAAACUGCUUUUAACCGGGAAGAAACCCCAGGACGUGUCCUGGGUUGACGGUACCGGAGGAAUAAGCACCGGCUAACUUCGUGCCAGCAGCCGCGGUAAAGU
rnacentral:rRNA from 1 species